CCUACGGGUGGCAGCAGUGGGGAAUCUUGCGCAAUGGGCGAAAGCCUGACGCAGCGACGCCGCGUGAGGGAUGAAGGUCUUCGGAUCGUAAACCUCUGUCAGCAGGGAAGAACGGUCACUGUGCUAAUCAGCAGUGAAUUGACGGUACCUGCAAAGGAAGCACCGGCUAACUCCGUGCCAGCAGCCGCGGUAAUACGGAGGGUGCGAGCGUUAAUCGGAAUUAUUGGGCUUAAAGCGGUCGUAGGCGGUAUGUCAAGUCAAGGGGGAAAUCCCCGCGCUCAACGUGGGAACUGCCUUUGAAACUGGCAAACUGGAGUGGGUGAGAGGAUAGUGGAAUGCCAGGUGUAGGAGUGAAAUCCGUAGAUAUCGGGAGGAACAUCAGUGGCGAAGGCGACUAUCUGGCACAUAACUGACGCUGAGGAGCGAAAGCGUGGGUAGCAAACAGGAUUAGAUACCCGGGUAGUC
rnacentral:rRNA from 1 species